rnacentral:rRNA from 1 species
CCUACGGGUGGCAGCAGUGAGGAAUAUUGGUCAAUGGGCGCGAGCCUGAACCAUCCAAGUCGCGUGAGGGAAGACGGUCCUAUGGAUUGUAAACCUCUUUUAUCGGGGAGCAAAAGACGCCACGCGUGGCGUUCCGAAAGUACCCGAAUAAAAAGCAUCGGCAAACUCCGUGCCAGCAGCCGCGGUAAUACGGGGGAUUCGAGCGUUAUCCGGUUUUAUUGGGUUUAAAGGGUGCGCAGGCGGAAGAUAAAGUCAGCGUGAAAAUUUAGAGGCUAAACCUCUUCGAGCAGUUGAUACUGUUGUUCUUGAGUGAGCGAGAAGUAUGCGGAAUGCGUGGUGUAGCGGUGAAAUGCAUAGAGAUCACGAAGAACUCCGAUUGCGAAGGCAGCAUACUGGCGAUCAACUGACGCUCAUGCACGAAAGUGUGGGUAUCGAACAGGAUUAGAUACCCUAGUAGUC